AGAGUUUGAUCCUGGCUCAGGAUGAGCGCUAGCGGCAGGCCUAACACAUGCAAGUCGAGGGGUAACAGAGAAGCUUGCUUCUGCUGACGACCGGCGCACGGGUGCGUAACGCGUAUGCAACCUACCUCAUACUGGAGAAUAGCCCUUGGAAACGAGGAUUAAUACUCCAUGGUAUCAUUCUUUCGCAUGUUAGAAUGAUUAAAGAAUUUCGGUAUGAGAUGGGCAUGCGUCCCAUUAGCUAGUUGGUGAGGUAACGGCUCACCAAGGCGACGAUGGGUAGGGGGCCUGAGAGGGUGGUCCCCCACACUGGUACUGAGACACGGACCAGACUCCUACGGGAGGCAGCAGUGAGGAAUAUUGGUCAAUGGAGGCAACUCUGAACCAGCCAUGCCGCGUGAAGGAUGACGGCCCUAUGGGUUGUAAACUUCUUUUAUAUGGGAAGAAACUUAUCUACGUGUAGAUAACUGACGGUACCAUACGAAUAAGGAUCGGCUAACUCCGUGCCAGCAGCCGCGGUAAUACGGAGGAUCCAAGCGUUAUCCGGAUUCAUUGGGUUUAAAGGGUCCGUAGGCGGAUUUUUAAGUCAGUGGUGAAAGCCGGCAGCUCAACUGUCGAACUGCCAUUGAUACUGGAAAUCUUGAGUACAAAUGAAGUAGGCGGAAUGAGUCAUGUAGCGGUGAAAUGCAUAGAUAUGACUCAGAACACCGAUUGCGAAGGCAGCUUACUAACAUGUAACUGACGCUGAGGGACGAAAGCGUGGGGAGCGAACAGGAUUAGAUACCCUGGUAGUCCACGCCGUAAACGAUCAUCACUCGCUGUUGGCGAUAUACUGUCAGCGGCCAAGCGAAAAUAUUAAGUGAUGCACCUGGGGAGUACGCCGGCAACGGUGAAACUCAAAGGAAUUGACGGGGGCCCGCACAAGCGGUGGAGCAUGUGGUUUAAUUCGAUGAUACGCGAGGAACCUUACCAGGGCUUAAAUGUAGUAUGACCGGUCUGGAAACAGACCUUCCCUUCGGGGCAGAUUACAAGGUGCU
rnacentral:rRNA from 1 species